CAGUCGCCGCGGUAAAACGGAGGGUGCAAGCGUUAAUCGGAAUUACUGGGCGUAAAGCGCACGUAGGCGGCUUUGUAAGUUAGAGGUGAAAGCCUGGAGCUCAACUCCAGAAUUGCCUUUAAGACUGCAUCGCUUGAAUCCAGGAGAGGUGAGUGGAGCUCCGAGUGUAGAGGUGAAAUUCGUAGAUAUUCGGAAGAACACCAGUGGCGAAGGCGGCUCACUGGACUGGUAUUGACGCUGAGGUGCGAAAGCGUGGGGAGCAAACAGGAUUAGAUACCCGUGUAGUCCCUGUCUCUUAUAC
rnacentral:rRNA from 1 species